UUGUGGGAGGCGGCGGCGAGGCCGCGCCGCGCGCGCCCUCUGGUGGCUGAACCACAAAAUGGCGUCGGGGGCGGAAAUUAGUGCUCAGGGGGCUCGUCAGUGCUGACAGCGGUGGUUCCUGCGGGACCGGCCUCUUGCUCCGAGCAGAGGACGGUGACCACGUCCCAAGCCUGGUGAGCGUGCCUUGUACCAAAACCAUCCUCCCCCCGUUAUUCGGGAGCGUUUGCGGGCUUGCGGUACGGCGUUGGUUGCUCCUCGCCUUCCCCCGAAUCCUCUGAGCGGACAGGAGCAGGCUGUAGGAAGCGGAUCCCACAACCCCUGCCUUGCCUUCACGAGGGACAGUGACUCUGAAUUCCCAGCUACGCAGCCCGCACAGGUCACUUGGUUUCACUGACACGUUAAAUACUUCCCAC